rnacentral:lncRNA from 1 species
AGAGAAGUCUCCAGCACAGGGACCUUCCCGCUUCUCCACUGCGGAAUCCCAGGGAGAGGAGCUGGGUGGGCACAUGCGGGACGGGCAGACGCCAGCAGCCUUGGUGCCAGCCAGGCUGCCAGCAACCCCAGCUCACUUCCGGAGCCAUAAAAGGAGAGACGCUGAGAAUAGCGCGGCUGUGACGCGCCCAGGAGCUCCUCACGCAUGCAGACUCUGCACCACCCGCCCGCCCGCCUGCUCUCUGAGGUUUGGCUGGACCCGCCAAGAAAAGGCAUCGUGCAGAAGCACUGUACAGAAACAUGAGACACCCACGAGGAACCAUCUCUCAGCACCAUUUCAGAGGCAGACCCCAGAGGGAGACCACUCUCAUCAUCCAGGAUCCUGCAGAGCGAUGGUCAACCCUGCCAAGAACAGCCACUGUCUCAGGUGCGGCAGCUAUCGAGGCAUGACGCAGGCCACUGACUCACCACGCCAGGCUGACUCACCUCCCAGGGCACAGCCUGGGGACUGCGCGGGCCCAGCCGGCGGAGCCCCAACCUGGAGAAGCCCGCUCGCCCCAGGAGGCCUCCAUUACCAGCGUCCGCCCCCACACCCCCGAAACCGGCUGUGUCUGCCCACGCUGCCACAGCCAUCCCAGAAUCACACGUGGAUGGCUUCAUUUCCCACCUGGGCCUGGGGGCCAAGGAUGCCUAAUUCCUGGAGCGGAGAUGGGCUGAGCCUAGAGAGCCCACCUGGGCUGACGGCUCUGGAAACACAUCAGUCAUGCUGAGCUGUGGGGACCAAGGGGGUGCCGGGAGAGAACGUGGCGCCGGAAACGGAAACGUCUGUGCAGACCAAUGGGGUGCCGAGAGAGAACGCUGACUCCGGAAACGUCCUGGCUGUCUGGGGAGUUCAACAGCAAGGUACGGUGAGAGCUGGCGGCUUCAUUUUUGGAACCAGGGAGAGAGAGAGAGAGAGAGGUUUAUGAGAGACCUCAUGAGACAGCUCAUGAUGGAAGUGAGACUGAGUUGCAGUGAACCCUGUCACUGAAGAGACAGCCUUCACACUGUGUCUUGCAGGGGAAAAUACAACUCUUUAUUAAAAUUUAUUGCCC